GUUCCCGUGGUGUAGCGGUUAUCACGUGCGCCUCACACGCGCAAGGCCCCCCGGUUCGAUCCCGGGCGGGAAUA
rnacentral:tRNA from 1 species